rnacentral:piRNA from 1 species
UUCUAAGUGUGGUUGAUUGUUGAUUGAAGA